rnacentral:sRNA from 1 species
AUCAAGAUUAUGUUGUUUCAUCAAUGGAAAACCAUCAAGCAUUUUGACGUGGGAAGUUUAAAUUUUACCAGUAUAACUACCACGCCCAUCCUGAAGAAGAAUAUGCAAGUUAUAGGAAACCACCAGAUGACGCCGAUAGUAUGUCACGAUGACGAGACUGUAAGAGAGGGCAAAUGAAGAAUGGUAGAAAAAAAGUCAAAUUGAAGCAUGUUGAUGAUUUUUUUUUGCGUCAUAAAACUAUUAGCACCCUGAAAUGUUGGCCUUUUCUGGUGGAAAUAGCUGAGGAACUUGGAAUUGCCCAAAAAGUUUUAUUUAGGACUUGACAGCGAUUCUAAGAUGAUGGAAAUCUCAGUAGAUGUUACGUUACUGGUCGCCCCCCUAGUUAUAAGCGCCAAAUGAAGACUGGUAUUUACCAGUAGUUGCCAAAAGAAGCGGAAUGUUUAAAUCGGAACCAUAACAGUCCAAAUAUAUCCGGGCAUUAUUCUAAAACAACAUGUACGUUUGAUUACCAGUACCGGUAUUCCUCAGGGGUGCCAUUUGUGUUUGUCAUGGGUGCAGAAUUUGUGUUUGUGGACGCCAGUUCUCUUCUAGCAAACAACGUAAACGAAUGCCUUCAAUCUGAAAAUAUUAGGAAUGGCCAGUAUAUUUACCUGACUUGAACCCGUUAGAGCAUGAAUAGGACAUGCUUGGCCAAUGAGUGUAGCUCGUCAACUACCUUCGACAUGUACACCGGAACUUCUAAGAGCAUUGCUUGCUGAGUAGGGUAUUCUUCCCUAAGAUCAACUUGAUAAUUUGAUACUCAGCCUGCCUAUGCGUUGUACGGACUGUAUUUCAUCGUAAUGGUGAAAUAGAAUGUAUUUACUAUCAUAUUAACUUUGUAAUAUUAAGUUUUCGUAAAGGAAAUAUUACUUUUAAUUGCCCCAUCGAGCAAAAUCAUAUUUUUCAUGAAUGAUAUCAUACAAGCACCUUUUUUUAUUCCUUAUCUUUUGAUUAAUAAAUAGGCUUAAUGAAUAAGUCAGGUUUGUUUUGUUUCUGAACCUUUAUAUGCCAGAGCUCACAUUAUCCCUAAUACAUUGACAAGAGUGUAGUUACACAUGUAGGACGAAGCACAUUAAAACUGCAUUGAACAUAAAGAAAUUCAAAUUCAGAGUUUCAAUAAUUAGAUCAUAUUUUCUACAUUAGAGUCAAGAAUCUAAAUCAAUUUAAAAGAAAAGAAAAGUACGUUUUCGUGUCUGCUAUAGUAACUUAAUAUAUCAUCUGCACUAGAAAAAUUGCAUACUCACGGUUAGCCCUAGAGUUCAUUAUUAGUGGAUCUUAGUGCGUUAUUAUGCGAUCACUACUAGAUCAAUAAUUAAGACAAAAAGUGCAAGCUUAAGUUUCACGCAUACUAAUUUCAGGUUCAAAUUGCUGCAUUCGUAACCUAUGUCACCAAAAGAGGCCUCUUGACCUAAAAAUUGUGGAUGAAUACCAAACAGAGGUCAUUCAUCUGUAUCGUGGACUGCGCUGCCAGGGUUGCUGUUUUCCAUGCUGUUUACAGCGUUUGGAAAUAUAUUCUCCUCCAAACAACUUGUUGGGAAUAGUUCAACAAGAAUGGAGUCUAUUCUUUCCUGAUUUGAGUGUACAGACUGAUGAAGGUGAAACUCUGUAUAAAAUAGGAGGUCCUGUUUGCACUUGGUCUUGUUGUAACAACUCGGAUUUCCCUGUGCUCGAUGCUAAGAGCGGUGUCGAUGUUGGCAAAAUAACGAAAAAGUGUUCAGGGGUGUUGGAUGAAGCCCUCUCUGACGACAGUCAAUUUGGUUUAACUUUUCUCACAGAGUUAGAUGUAAAUCAGAAAGCGAUGCUCUUGGGAGCACUUUUUCUUAUUGAUUUUAUGUACUAUGAAAGCUGUUUUUCUAGAGCCUGUAAUGAUGUGAUCUGUUGUGAUUGAGGUACUACUUUUCAUAUGUUA